rnacentral:rRNA from 1 species
AGAGUUUGAUCCUGGCUCAGAACGAACGCUGGCGGCACGCCUAACACAUGCAAGUCGAGCGCAGUUAUUUCCUUCGGGAUUUAGCCGAGCGGCGGACGGGUUAGUAACGCGUGGGAACGUACCCUUUACUACGGAAUAGCCUUUGGAAACGAAGAGUAAUACCGUAUACGCCCUUCGGGGGAAAGAUUUAUCGGUAAAGGAUCGGCCCGCGUAAGAUUAGAUAGUUGGUGGGGUAAUGGCCUACCAAGUCUACGAUCUUUAGCUGGUUUGAGAGGAUGAUCAGCAACACUGGGACUGAGACACGGCCCAGACUCCUACGGGAGGCAGCAGUGGGGAAUCUUAGACAAUGGGCGAAAGCCUGAUCUAGCGAUGCCGCGUGAGUGAAGAAGGCCUUAGGGUCGUAAAACUCUUUCGCCAGAGAUGAUAAUGACAGUAUCUGGUAAAGAAACCCCGGCUAACUCCGUGCCAGCAGCCGCGGUAAUACGGAGGGGGUUAGCGUUGUUCGGAAUUACUGGGCGUAAAGCGCACGUAGGCGGAUUGAUCAGUUAGAGGUGAAAUCCCAGGGCUCAA